ACCCACACACACGCACAACCGUUGAUGAAUGAUAAGUUUCUAAAAUCCCUUUCAAUUACAUUAAAAUUAAAUAUAGUUAUGAACACUCACUGCUCAUAAGAAAAUAUACAAAAUACAGCCUGUGGUUAGUAACAGCUAAAGUUGGGAGCCAUCUGCAGUGCAGACAAUUUUAAGACAGUUAGCUACUCGGAGUAAUAGCAUCCAAUUUAAAACUGAUUAAGCUGAUAGGUGUAGUCCAUGCAGAGAGGUAUGAAAGAUAAUUUAGUAAAAUUUUAAAAUAUACCCUGAAGUCUUUGAUUAUAUAUCUCAAACUUUCUCUCAGGAUUCGGUAAACCACUUUUCUUCAGUCACCACUAACUAAUUGGUGAGUUAACUUCUUACAAAAUAUAGCUGUAUUACAAAUGUACUAAUGUCUGUUUAAUUUAAAGUAAUUUCAACAAACACAACUUUCUUAGCUAACCUAAUGCUAGCUAAUUAACAAACAAACAAACAUAACUUAGCUUUAGCUAGCUAGCUAGCCUAACCAACCUAAUGCUGUACUGUUGAAUGAAAAGUUAUUGCUAAAUAGAUAUUUAGUCUAGCUACACUUUAAAUGUAUUUUCCUUUCAUUGGUUUGGUACAUUUAUGUAGGUAAGGUGUUUCCAUUAAUAAGUGUAAAAUGUUAAAGGCACACUAUGCAUUUUCAGUUAUUUAAUGUGUUUCUUUGAAUGUAUAUGCCAAAUCAGGAACUGUCAUUAUUUUCCACUUCCAGAAAAGAACUCUCUUUGUCUCAGGAGUCGCUUAAAGUGGACAUGAAACACUUCAAGUAUUUAGUAUAAUUGUCGUUCACUGGACAAAUAAGCUGAAGUCCGAGGCUUUUUUCCUCUGUCUGACUGAGGGUACUAUGAAAGCAGAAGCUGUGAGCCGCAAGGAACGAGACAAAUGACGCGCACACCUAGCAGAGCAGCCAGAGGUGGGAAAACAUGCUUACAAGUUCAGGAGCUCUCGACCCAUACCCAUGGGCUCACAAGUCUCAGGCUUUGCAAGUCAGUCUUACUUUACAGCAAAAAAUAUGGAUGCACUCCCAGCAGAGAACAAGACGCAGCUCUACUCUGAACUAUUCUACACUUUGAGAUAUAACCCAGGUAUAAGGGAUACCUUAACCAGCAGCAGCUUGUAUGUAUGCAGCACGUCAUUGUUUUCUUUUUUUCACUUCUACCUUGUCCAUCACUAAACUGAAAAACAAUAGCUGAUCCAUAUCAGGGACUUACUGAGGAUAUUUUUGUUUUAUUCUCCCUCAUAACUCCCCCUGAUAUCUCUAAUACUAUGAACGGGGGAUUUUCUAUGAUGUUCCUGGCUCUCUUUUCAUUUUAAUCAUGACAAUGGGAUCAGAUAAUCCGGGCCCGAGAGCGGCCUUUGAUUGUCCUGAUUGAGACUCUUUUGUUAGACAGAUAUGUAAUAUGCAGUGGUAAGAGGAUUUGGUGCAGUAGAUUGUGUGAUUUAAUCAUGUUUGCGCAGGGAAAGCAGCACUUACAUGCACUCGGGGGGUUAAACCAGUGUAAGACAUAGAGUUUUAGACUCAGUCGUUGAGGGGGGCUUGCUGAAAGGGAGUUUAGGUCAGGGUAAUGGGGUAUUGUUUAAUACAGGGGGCACUAUAGUCUGAGGUUUAUGAGGAUAUAAAGAGUAUUGGGGGAUUUACAGUUGGAGGUGGAAGAAGGCUAAGGGACAGAUCAUUUCUGAUUGAAGAUUUGCAUCAGAGAGCAACUACCUUAACCCACAAGCUGCAAAGACUUGUUUAUUGGCCCAUAUUUCAAUUUCUGUAAAAUCCUUGUUACUCUAUUUAUAUAUUUUAUUUAUUGUGGUUUCUGGGAUUGGAUCAGUUGACAUGAUCCACAAUGACUUUUUUGAAGGAAAUAUUUGAAACCUCUGUGUUUUCACAUUUUUUUUUUUAAGAACAACUUUCACUAUUGUUCCUAUUUAUUCUGUGUUUAUACGAUAUAUCCAUAAAAAAGGUUGUACAAAGUUUAUGUCAUGAUUUGCGUGACUCUGUGUGAGUCUGACCUACUAGUGCUAUAGUGGAUUAUUUUGUUUAUAAAUUGUGUACUGUUGCUUUAAAUUACUUCAAAAAGAGAAAGUGAAAUACUUUGAUUAACACUAAGAAAUGAGAAAGGCCAGGAAUCACAUGGAAAACUGCAUGUUUUAUUGGGAACAUUUCUCCUAUUUCUAAAAUGCUA
rnacentral:lncRNA from 1 species